rnacentral:rRNA from 1 species
GACGAACGCUGGCGGCGUGCUUAACACAUGCAAGUCGAACGGUGAAGCGCCUUCCUUUUUGGUGGGUGUGGAUGAGUGGCGAACGGGUGAGUAACACGUGAGUAACCUGCCCCCUUCUUCUGGAUAACCGCAUGAAAGUGUGGCUAAUACGGGAUAUUCUGGGUCUGUCGCAUGAUGGGUCUGGGAAAGAUAUUGUUUCGGUGGGGGAUGGGCUCGCGGCCUAUCAGCUUGUUGGUGGGGUGAUGGCCUACCAAGGCGGUGACGGGUAGCCGGCCUGAGAGGGUGGACGGUCACACUGGGACUGAGACACGGCCCAGACUCCUACGGGAGGCAGCAGUGGGGAAUAGUGCACAAUGGGCGCAAGCCUGAUGCAGCGACGCCGCGUGAGGGAUGGAGGCCUGCGGGUUGUGAACCUCUUUCGCCAGUGAAGCAGGCCUGCCCCGUUUGUGGGUGGGUUGACGGUAGCUGGAUAAGAAGCGCCGGCUAACUACGUG